GGGAAGUGUCAGGUGUGUGGGGUGUGUGAAGGAGAGGUGGAGGGAGAGGCGGGAGGGGUAUGCAGGGUGACAGGCAGCCAGAGUGAGUAUGCGGUGGGGGUGCUAGGUGUGGAGGGGAUGUAAGAGUGCACAGAGUGGCUAGAGAGAAAGUGAGAAGGGUAGAAAAAGGUGUGGAGGAAUGAGCAGGUCCCUGAGGGCCUGGAGGACCUGAGCAGAGGAGGAGGUGAAGGAGGGGGCUGGGUGGCAUGGAGAGGGGUGGAUAGGCCUGAGAGGCUUUGACAGUUUGGCUUUUGUCCCUGUCCACGUACCCAGCUGCCGCAGCCCCCACCAAACCUGGCCUUACUGCCAGGCUCAUUUCAGGGAUGGGUGGAAAUUUCCAUUUCAGCAAAAUCCAUUUGUAAAGCCCUGGAGCUUUGAGCCUCAUUCGGCCUGCCCAGCUAGCCCCACUCUCCACCCCAGACCUCCCUCUGCUCUCCCUCCCCAGCAGGCAGAGCUUGGGCUCAGGGCCUGGGCUCCCUCAGCCCCACUCCAACCCUAGCACUGCAGCCUACAGAGGACCAUCCUCCCCACCCCCCACCCCAGCCAAGCAUUUUGACAUUCUAGGGUGCCCCACAGAUCUGGCAGAAGUGGUAGAUUGGUCAGUGCCUUGCCUCAGUUAGGGGACCAUCAGCAUGCAGUCUACCCCCACUGCGCCCUGUCCCAGUACAGACGGUGGUUUUGAUGCAUGACCAUAUUGCCUAGAGGAGGAGUUGAGGAAAAAC
rnacentral:lncRNA from 10 species